UACGAAGGGGGCUAGCGUUGCUCGGAAUUACUGGGCGUAAAGCGCACGUAGGCGGCUUUCUAAGUCGGGGGUGAAAUCCUGGAGCUCAACUCCAGAACUGCCUUUGAUACUGGCGAUCUCGAGUCCGGGAGAGGUGAGUGGAACUGCGAGUGUAGAGGUGAAAUUCGUAGAUAUUCGCAAGAACACCAGUGGCGAAGGCGGCUCACUGGCCCGGUACUGACGCUGAGGUGCGAAAGCGUGGGGAGCAAACAGGG
rnacentral:rRNA from 1 species